ACAUGAAGUUGGAAUUGCUAGUAAUCGCAGAUCAGAAUGCUGCGGUGAAUACGUUCCCGGGCCUUGUACACACCGCCCGUCACACCAUGGGAGCCGGUAAUACCCGAAGUCAGUAGUCUAACCGCAAGGGGGACGCUGCCGAAGGUAGGAUUGGCGACUGGGGUGAAGUCGUAACAAGGUAGC
rnacentral:rRNA from 1 species